rnacentral:rRNA from 1 species
GUGGGGAAUAUUGGACAAUGGGCGAAAGCCUGAUCCAGCCAUGCCGCGUGUGUGAAGAAGGUCUUCGGAUUGUAAAGCACUUUAAGUUGGGAGGAAGGGCAGUAAGUUAAUACCUUGCUGUUUUGACGUUACCGACAGAAUAAGCACCGGCUAACUUCGUGCCAGCAGCCGCGGUAAUACGAAGGGUGCAAGCGUUAAUCGGAAUUACUGGGCGUAAAGCGCGCGUAGGUGGCUUUGUAAGUUGGAGGUGAAAUCCCCGGGCUCAACCUGGGAACUGCCUCCAAAACUGCAUGACUAGAGUACGGUAGAGGGUAGUGGAAUUUCCUGUGUAGCGGUGAAAUGCGUAGAUAUAGGAAGGAACACCAGUGGCGAAGGCGACUACCUGGACUGAUACUGACACUGAGGUGCGAAAGCGUGGGGAGCAAACAGGAUUAGAUACCCCGGUAGUCC